UGGGGAAUAUUGGACAAUGGGGGAAACCCUGAUCCAGCGACGCCGCGUGUGUGAAGAAGGCCUGCGGGUUGUAAAGCACUUUCGGUGGGAACGAAAUAUGCCGGGCUAAUACCCCGGUAGGCUGACGUUACUCAAUGAAGAAGCACCGGCUAACUCUGUGCCAGCAGCCGCGGUAAUACAGAGGGUGCGAGCGUUAAUCGGAAUUACUGGGCGUAAAGCGCACGUAGGUGGCGACGUAAGUCGGGUGUGAAAUCCCCGGGCUCAACCUGGGAACCGCAUUCGAGACUGUGUUGCUGGAGUACGGAAGAGGAGGGCGGAAUUCCCGGUGUAGCGGUGAAAUGCGUUGAUAUCAUGAGGAACACCAAAAGCGAAGGCAGUGCACUAGCGUACUCCUGACACUCAAACACGAAAGCGUGGGUAGCGAAUGGGAUUAGAUACCCACGUAGUCCCUGAGCGGGCUGGCAAGGC
rnacentral:rRNA from 1 species